GCGGCAGGCCUAACACAUGCAAGUCGAGCGGCAGCGGAAGGAAGCUUGCUUCCUUGCCGGCGAGCGGCGGACGGGUGAGUAAUGUCUGGGGAUCUGCCCGAUGGAGGGGGAUAACUACUGGAAACGGUAGCUAAUACCGCAUAACGUCGCAAGACCAAAGUGGGGGACCUUCGGGCCUCACACCAUCGGAUGAACCCAGAUGGGAUUAGCUAGUAGGCGGGGUAAAGGCCCACCUAGGCGACGAUCUCUAGCUGGUCUGAGAGGAUGACCAGCCACACUGGAACUGAGACACGGUCCAGACUCCUACGGGAGGCAGCAGUGGGGAAUAUUGCACAAUGGGGGAAACCCUGAUGCUGCCAUGCCGCGUGUAUGAAGAAGGCCUUCGGGUUGUAAAGUACUUUCAGCGGGGAGGAAGGCAGUGAACUUAAUACGUUCGCUGAUUGACGUUACCCGCAGAAGAAGCACCGGCUAACUCCGUGCCAGCAGCCGCGGUAAUACGGAGGGUGCAAGCGUUAAUCGGAAUGACUGGGCGUAAAGCGCACGCAGGCGGUUUGUUAAGUCAGAUGUGAAAUCCCCGAGCUUAACUUGGGAACUGCAUUUGAAACUGGCAAGCUAGAGUCUUGUAGAGGGGGGUAGAAUUCCAGGUGUAGCGGUGAAAUGCGUAAAGAUCUGGAGGAAUACCGGUGGCA
rnacentral:rRNA from 1 species